GUAGGUGGCAAGCGUUGUCCGGAAUUAUUGGGCGUAAAGCGCGCGCAGGCGGUUCUUUAAGUCUGAUGUGAAAGCCCACGGCUCAACCGUGGAGGGUCAUUGGAAACUGGAGAACUUGAGUACAGAAGAGGAAAGCGGAAUUCCACGUGUAGCGGUGAAAUGCGUAGAGAUGUGGAGGAACACCAGUGGCGAAGGCGGCUUUCUGGUCUGUAACUGACGCUGAGGCGCGAAAGCGUGGGGAGCAAACAGGGAUUAGAUACCCUGGUAGUCCACGCCGUAAACGAUGAGUGCUAAGUGUUAGGGGGUUUCCGCCCCCUUAGUGCUGCAGCUAACGCAUUAAGCACCCCCGCCUGGGGAGUACGGCCGCAAGGCUG
rnacentral:rRNA from 1 species